CAACUAUUCAAAAUUAAAAAAAAAUAAUAUCUUUAUCUGUAUAUGAAAAUUUGCGUGAGAGCUGCGUCUUCAAAAGCAGAUAUGCAGUGUUUGAGCGAAGCCAAACAAAAAUUGCAUUUCCCAGAAAUAUGACAAGGAAUUCUACAAUAGUCACGAUCUGGAAAAAGUUAGAAUUGUCGAAUUUAUCCAACCGCAAUUGUCAUGCGUGGCUUCGUCUCAAACGUAAAUACUACCUUUUUGUGUUGAAUGACAGAAACUGCAUAUAAGAAGCUGCACUACGGGAAUUUAUCAAGCAUUUACUUUUGGUUUUAAGUUAUUGUUAAACAUAAAUUGCUUGGCGUAUGCGAUCCACCUACAUACCUGCAUGGAUAUGUAUAGAAAUAUUCAUAAAUAUAUGCACAAAUAUGCACUCACAGUUAGCUAUUUAAUGACGCUCCCAUUGUUGAGUUUUUGCUUCUUUUUUCUAGUAGGCAGAUACAUCGUUACCCCAGUGUUUUGAAGACGUUUUUGUGUGCAACAGUUGUAGUUGGUACGCUUUAUCCCUAUUCAAAUUGGCGCAGUUACCCUGUUUCAAUGGAAUAUAAGUGCACAACCUGAUAGUUGCGAAUGCAUCAAAAAUCUAUAAAUUCGUAUUUUUUUAACUUUUUUAUUGCUGUACAUGCGGUUUAUAUGGAUAUGUAAGGCAUAUAUUUUUUUUGGAUUCGCGAACAAUUCUGUGGGAGAACUCUAACGUAAAUAUGAAAUUUGCAUUUAGGCUUAGUGUGCUUCAACAGAGAGAGACAGUGGCGUAGAAAAAAUAAUUUUAUUAUAAUAACAGUAAUAAUAAUAGAAACUAGCAAGAAAACUAUUAAUAAUUAUUAACUUUUCUAUUUGUUAAUUAUAUAAUUUUUUUAUGUGAAUAAUUGGCUAUUUACCCUCUCAACUAUGAAAUUAAUGCCGCUACUGGAUCAGUGAAUGAAAAUUUUUUUUUUGGCUAUUGUCGAUAAAGUUUGAUGCACUAUAAAUCUAUAUUUACUCAAUGCUUACAAAGCUUAACAAUAGCUUAAAUAUAUAUUUAUUAUGUAUUAUUGUGCUAUGAGUAGGUGAUGUAUAAAUCUAUUUAAACCGAAGCGCGAAUAUCAGAUGCUUAUUUAUUUAAACAAGUUUAAAAUAUUCACGAUUUUAAUUUUCUUGAAUUUUUAGCUUUUUUUUUGUUGCAUUUAACAAUAUUAAGCCAGUUUUAAUUGCAAAAUAAAAAAUUUCAAAACAUACAUCGAAAAAAUAUUUAAAUUUAAUUUUCACCUAUCACAAAUUGCUUAAACUUUUCUAAAAACGCUUAAGUAAAAGGAAAGCUUUUCACAAAAACAAAAUCAGAAAUCAAUUAUUGUUGCUUUGGAAACUUUACAAACCAAGUUCAAGUUUGCUUGAUUGCAUUUUUCGAUUUAUUUUUUGUGCAAACUUUGUACGAGUACUCUAUGCAGUAGUUUGUGCUUUAACAUGUACAAGUUACAGCUAUGUUUUCAACUUUUUUUUUCGAAGUUCGUAACGAAAGGUGUUGCUACAGUGUUGCAAAUAUAAACUAAUUUAGUUUUUGGUAAGUUUCCAAAAAAAUGUCAAAACACUUUUCGGAUGACAGCACAGCUUGUGAGAGUCAGUUAAGGAUAGUUGAGAGAUUUUGUUGAAGCUUAUUAAAAAUAUAUGGAUGUUGGCGACGAAAAAUAAAUUUAAUAUGACAAAGCGACGAUACUAUAUUUAUAAAAUAGAUUGAAAUCAAAUUUUUUGUAGACCACUGUAAAGAUAAUCAAAUGCAGCAAAUGACAAAGAACAAAGAACCGUCAACUCGGCGGAAGCAUUCUUAUGUUAGAUUUCUAUAGUUUUUUAACAAUUUUGCCGAUUUGUCCAUCAAAACAAUCUGAGUUCACUUCGAUGCUGAUUGUGACAGAAAGACUAACCACAAUUUGAUGUACUUCAAUUCUCCAGUUGGAUACAUUACUUUGUAGAUUUAUUUCCAGAGCAACUUCUCGUUCAUUUCCAAAUUUGCCCCUCAAAUAGCGUCGGUCGUUUGCUGGAGCACAUGUGCCCGUACGGUUAGUUGUCAAUUGAUUUUCUAUUAACCAUGUAAAGGUUGAUAUUGACGUUAACUCAAUGUUAUUCUUGUUGUUGUGCCACCGGAGUGAACUCCUACAGCAGUUGAAGCCUGUAACUUCAAUGGCGCUUAACUGAAACAGCAUGUGAAUAGUCUCAAAAUUGCCAAGGGAACAUAAAUAUUGUGACUUCAAAGAUUUUAUUUUGACUUCAACUUUGAGCUCAAAAUUAAUUACAGAAAGUUUUCUGCCGCUACAACAACAAAAUCCCCAUCUUUUAUCCCGAUGAAACCCAUACCUAAAAGCUGUAAAAACUUGCAGCAAAUUUUUACAUUUCUUAUAGGUUAUGUUGAAGAUUUCCACGAUCAUCCAUUAAACCCACACUAUUUGCGUGUUGGGUAAACAUACCUGAUUGCAGUUUAGUGCGGUACAUUUGAGUUUUAUUUAUUUUUGUUUUGCUGCGCUUGGCUCGUUGCAAUCUUUACUCGGCAACGAAAAUGUUUGUAAAUAUUUUUUUUUUGUAUGAGUUGUUAUUGCUAUUGCUGUGUAGUGCCAAAGCAAAGCGUGUGUGUGUGUGGGGUCCAAAGUGAUUUUGAUUUUAUCGCUGCUGUUACUGUUGCUGACAUUUUUUUUAUUAUUAUUGUUGUUGUAGAUGCAGAUAGCAACUUCUUUGUUGUUGCUGUUAUUGAUCAUUUAUUUGGUGCAGCAGCAACUACUACUAACUGCAGUUCAGUUACCAGCGCAGAUUGAUUUGCCGCCGUCAAGUUAAGUUUGUACGUAUGUAUGUGAGGAUGUGUGUGUUUGCGUUUGUUUGUUGUCGCCGCCACCGCCAAAAGGCAGCACUAACGGUCGUACAACAUGCAACAUACACAUCAGCGACGCCAAGUCACGGGGCAACCAACUCCAUUAAGCAAUGUUGCUGCUGCCGCGCCAAUCGUCGGUCUGUCAGCUGUCGUCGUCUGUGGCACUACGAUUACGUUGGUGGACGCAUUGAUUUGAUUUUGAAUUGCUUAGUGCGAGUAGUAUUCCCGCGGGUGUCACGACGGACGACGCACACACACUUGAAGGUGCAGCGCUCCAUUCAAUGGCAUUCGUUGGAAAGUUUGCUUUUUAGAUUUUCUUAUUUCUGAUUUUUUUGUGUUUUUUUUUUCCUUUUUUCUAAUCCGUUUUCCAUUUACAUUGCAUUGUUUGUGCGUCUGUGUGCGCGCUUUACUGUGCAUUUUUUGCUGCAAUUGCUGGAAAAACUAUUGAUUGUUACUUUAUUGUUGCUGCUGUUUUUUUUGGCUCUAUUUUCUAUCUAACUUUGCCAUUCAUUGCUUUGAUUUCCUUUUAAUUUGCCUGCAGGCUUGAGCGGAUAUUUCUACAAUUUUCCGGUCACUAUUUCUUUUCGCAGCGAAGACAAAAAACAAAAAAAAAGUUUUCAAUUUUGAUUUAUUUGCGUUUGUGUGCAGUGUUGCCACAAUGUUGCAUUUAUCGGGAAAGCAUUAAAGUUUAAAUUGAGCGCAAGCAUGCAAAUCACACAUUGCACAUUGAACAGGUUGCAUUCAAGUGAAAUUUCUCGAUUUACAGUAAUUUCUUAUUAAAAAUUAAUAAAAUAAAAAUGCAUGUGAUUGAUUGAAGCAAAGAGCGACAUAAUAUAUACAUACAAUUUUCAUGCGGAAAAUUAUACAAAUAAAUUUUACUUUCCGUGCAAUUGUUUUUUUAAUAAUUUUCAUUUUUGUAAUCAAAACACAUGGUAUAUGUCUGUACAACUGUGUUCGAAAUAAUAGCAGUGGCUUAUCAAAAUUUAAAUAAGUGAAAUUUUUACACUUAAAACCUUCUAGCCAUGUAAUUUUUUAAUGCAAAAACAUAGGCCUAAAUAUUGGGAAUAUGUGUUUAAAUUGAUAUUUGAUACAGUUAUCAUAUACAAGGAGUACCGUUCCCACGACAGUCGGUUCUACGUAACCGGAACGGACCCGGAUUUUUAUCCGGCCAAGGACUGUCAAAUCGGCAGCAUUCCUCAAAAUUAUUUGGGGAAUGUUUUAUGCCGCUACAACAACAACAACAACAACAACAAGGAGUACCGUUAUUUUUUGUGAAACGUUCUUGUUUUUGCUGUGAUUAAAAAUAGCAGUGCAAGCGAAAUGGUCAUAUUAUUAUAAAUACAGUGGAACCUCUCCAACUCGAAUCACCAUAAUCCACAGAAAAACUUCAAGUUAGAGAGACUUCGAGAAUUUUCAUUAAAACAUACAACUUUUCAAAAAGCUGUAAAAUAUUGAUUUAAGCACUGUUUUAUUUAUUUACUUCGCAAAAAAUUUUAUGGACUUAUGUUAAAAGAUGUUUGCUGUAAUAUUUGUAUCCCAUGCCUUGUGUUAGAUGAUUUAUGCAAUACAUAAGUGUAAUAUUAUAUUUUUUGUAGAGGGACUCUUUUAAAAUUCUGCCUCGAUAGUAAUAUUUUAAAUUUUGUAUUAUGCCCUUGUCGAAAAGUUCGAUUUACGGAAGGAAAUUUGUAUGAAAGUUACACUAUAUUGCCUCUUCAAGAGUUCGAGAUAUGGAGAAUUUCGAGUUAUAGAAAUUCGAGUUAGGGAAGGAAAUUUGUAUCACAUUUGACUUCUAAACGUAAUUACCAAAAAUUUCCAGUGAUGGUGAUCUUCGACUUAAAGAAGUUCGAGUUAUGGAUGUUCCACUGUAAUUUGAUUGAAAUGCGAAAAUUUAAAUUGAAGUCAACUAAGACAAUAGUUCUUUAGUAAAUACAUCGCUCUUUAAAUUUGAAACCACAUUUAUUUUACGAAAAUGGGCGUGGCAAAAUUUUUUCUAAAGGAGAAGUCAAUCUCAUCAACAAAAUGUUGGCUGACGAAAAAUCUAAUAAGUUUAUUGUUAUGUCAAAACGCAUCAAAUGCAAAAAUAUUUAAACCAAAAAAAAAAAACAAACUGAAAACUGGUUAAAUCUUAGUGUUAUCGCGUCCACAAUAAGACAAGAAUUAAAAACAGGUAAAAUUUUUCGGCAGGACCACAAGGAAAGUGCCUUUAUUAGAACCGCGGCAUGUGCAGGCCGUAGUUCAAAUUGCCGAAGAGCACCUGCAUAAUUAAAAAAAAAAUAUUAAUGUUAUUUUGUAAGGAAACCAUAUUUCUUGCAAGCUUGAAUAUGGGGAAAUAAUAUAAAAUAACAAUGAACUUUAACAAAAAUUAAUUACAAUAUGUUUUUUCAUUGAAUACAUUUUUGGUUAUACCGCUGCUAUUAUUUCGAACACAGUUGUAUGUUUAAUUUCACCAAUGCAAUUUAAAUAUUUCGCCAAUAUAAUAUUUUAAUUUGCCAUUGAUACGCUACAAAUUAUCGUGGUAUAAAUUAUAGGUUAUGUUAAUUCAAUUUAAAAGUACUUAAUACACAUAAAGAGGGAAAGUUCAUGUAAAAUUAAAAAAAAAAUGAUUUUUUUUCGAUAAAUUUAAAAUGAAGUGAUUUUCAAUGGAGAUGCUACAAAAAGUAGACCGAUAGUGACCGCAAACAAAGUUAUAUUUUUUCGCGUUCUUUUGACAUUUCUCUUCAGUAAGGUUUGCCAUUUCAUCAUGGCAAGAUAUACGAUCCAACAAUGAGUCGAAAUUCUUAAAAUUUUCUACCGAAAUUCGGAGUCAGUGACUUCAACUUUAGGAGCGCUACGUUCAAUUUAUGGUCCUGUCAGAUCAACAAUUGAGCGUAUAGUGGAAACAUUUUAAUGCACAGGCACAGUACAAAAUAUUCUCGUGCCAGUGAGACAAAGAAGUGCCCAUAGUGUCGAGAAUAUUGCUGCCGCUAGCGCAUUAAUUGAGGAAGAUCCAAAUCAGUCUCUCACACGUCGUUCUCAAGCGUUGGGCACCCCUGUGACGCCGUUGUGGCGAAUUUUGUGAAAAGAUUUUGCCCUAUAUCCUUAUAAGAUCAAAUUGAUGCAAGAACUGGAGCUGAUUGACAAUUAGAAUCGUCGUAUGUUCAUGAAUUGGGCGGAGCAACAACUUGAAAAUGAUCCGGAUUUUCAUCGAAAAAGCGAUGAGGCUCAUUCCUGGCUGAAUGACUUCGUCAAUAAGCAAAAUAGGCGCAACUGGUCAGGCAGCAAUCCACACGUACUCCAUGAGUGAGCAUUGUAUACCGAAAAAAUUACGUUUUGGUACGAUUUAUGGGCCGCCGUCGUCAUUGGGCCGUACUUCUUCCGUGAUGAUCAAGAGCGGGACGUUAAUGUGAGUGGGAAUUGCUACCGUUCAAUGAUAACUGAAUAUUUUUGACUCGAAUUGGAUGAUAUGGACUUGGACGGCGCCACAAGCCACACAGCGAAUGUCACGAUCGAUUUAUUGGCAACCAUGUUUGGUGAACGUGUUAUCUCAUGAAAUGAUCCAGUCAAUUAGCCGCCUCGGUCGUGCGAUUUGAUACCGUUAGACUAUUUCCUGUGGAGCUAUGUACGUCAAGUCUAUGGUCUAUUCUUAAACUUAUCACUGAAUAUUCUAAACACAGAAAUUGGUUUUUUUAUGUUAUGUCAUUCUAUGUUAUGUCAUGCUACGUUAUGCUAUGAUAUGUAACUUACGUAUGUCGCUUUAAUUUUCAUCAUUAUUUGUAGUUAAAUUAUAUUAAGUCGAACUGUGCAUGUAAUCAUCAUGCAAUGUAAGACAACCUUAUGUAAAACUUAAUCAAUUGUAUCCUUAUGUUCUUAUUAUUGGAAAAAAGUCAAAAACAGUUGUAUAAUUAAGUUAUAUAAUUUCUUAAGUUGUGUUAUAUUGUGGUGUGCUACGAAAUGCUAAUCUACUUACUUUUUUUUAAUUUUUUUUUUUAUUAUUUUACCCAACCCUAUUGCUGUGCAGCUUAUUAGCUGAAGAAAAGCAAUGGCAAAGAAACAAAAAAAAAAUAAACAUAUGUAUGUACAUACAUACCUAUUUAUAACUCAUGGCCGAUUCGCGUCGAGCAUAAGAAGUAACAAGCUUUGACAAAUGUCUGCCAUUUUUUCUUUCGCAUAUUGUCACCCCAUUUUACGGCACAUGCAACAGUCAUCAACUAAUUUUACUUAUGCAUGACUUGAACAGCGCCUACAACACACCCUGUAUGUUUGUAUGUGGAGUAACACCCAUUAGCAUCAUCGCCUGUUGUUGCCUGGUGUCUUCCAGGCGGCAUAAACAGGAAAUAAUAAAUUCUAUGCUCGUACAAUGUUGGCUGCUGCUGCUGCUGCUGCUCAGGCUGGAAGGCAUUAGGUACGGCCCCCACACGCACCAAGCAACACAACCCAGACACACACGGGCGUGUAUUUGUUUGUUUCUAUGUACAUAUAUGUUUAUGUGUGGUUGUUGGCAUGUUGUUUGACGCCCGUUAAAUAGUGAGUAUGUGGCGUAGCACUGCCACAAAAUUUUUUGUUGCUACUGUCAGCAGACACCAGCACACAUAUUUAUUUAUAUGCAACUCUGUUAUUAAAAGCCUCACAAGUAGUAGUUUGAUUGCAUACAUUUUCUUGCCACUUUUUCGAUACACUUUGCAUUAUUAUCGCCGCUGCCACGCGUUAUGCGUCUCUAAUCCGCAUUUUAAUCUGCAAUGUCGGUUAUACAUUUUUUUGGUUUUAUCUCCUCCUUAGUGCUGCCGCUACUUUCUUUCUUUUGUGUCGCUCCUACUUUAUUAGUCUUCCUCCUUAUUGCUCGUUAUUUAUUUGCUAUGUCGCAGCCAUCAACUGCCGUUUCCUCGAUUUUUGCUGUUUUACAUUUUCAUAUAAAUUUUAUGUUUAUCAGGCAAAUACGAUCUUAAUUCAAUGCAAUCAAAAGCUCCAGACAAUAUUCAUUAUGGCUAAAGGUGAGCAGCGGAAUAUGUGUGUGUAGGGUAUAUCUAUUUACUCGAAGGUACUUACUUUGUGCGCCUUCAUUGAGCGCGUUGAAGCUGUUGAGCAGGGGUUUUACAUUGUCAACAUAGCCUGCUUUUAGGCGUUCACUACAUGCUAUUUGUUGUUUGCAAAAACAGUUUAAUUUUGAAGUUUAAAAUAAAAUUUACUUUAACUUAUCGAUUUUUUUCCAUCUCUAAUUUGAAUAUUUUACAAAUCGAUUAGUUUUUUUACUAUUUUCCGUUGGUUUUUAUUUCAAUAAAGUAAGUUUUUGUAGGUAAUUUGUCUAAAUUUUGUUUGUUUAUCAAUUUAUUAAUCAUUUAAUUAAAAUUUCGAUAAACAACUUUCAAGAGAAUCGAUAACUUUUUAUCGAUUUCAUUAUUGUUUAUUUAACGUUAGUUAAGGCUUGUAUGCUUUUCUCAUAACAAUUUUGGUGAAAUUUAUCGAUAAAUUUAUAAUGAAUCGAUAGAUUUUUUAUCGAUUUUAUUAUCGUUCGAUAAGAUGAUGCUAUAAUAAUUUGUCGCAUUUAUAUUUUUUUUAUUUAUUUUUAUUAAAUUACGAUAAUAACUGAAAUAAAUCGAUAAUUGUAUCGAUUUUUAAUCGUUUAUUUAUCGUAGUUUAAGGCUUGUAUGUUGCCACAACUUGUGUGGAUUUUUGUCGAAAUCGAUUAUAAUCGAUAAUGCAAUAUUUUUUUAGAUUAUCUUGUAUUGUCUCUGAUACCAAUUAUCUGCUAUUAGGUACAUUUGAAAAAUUCACACAUUGAUUUAAUAAUACUUUUUCGAGUUAAAUUAAUAAAUUUUCCAUUUUUUCCAUUAAAUUAAAAUUUCGAUAACAAUUUCAAAAUAAUCUACAACUUUUUAACCGAUUUAGUUAUCGUACCAUACGAUGUUUAAUAAUACUUAUUCGAGUUAAAUUUUCCAUUUUUUUCCUUUUAAUUAAAAUUUCGAUAACAAUUUCAAAAUAAUCGAUAACUUUUUUUACCGAUUUAGUUAGCGUACGAUACGAUGAGGUAGCAAUAACUAGUCAGAUUAACAAAUAAAGUUUUCGAUAUUUAUUUUUAAGUUAAACUUUCGAUAGAUGUUUUCUAAUUAAUCGAUAUCGAUAUUUUUUAUAUCGAUUUUAUUAUCGUUUUUAUCAUAGAUUAUGGUUUGUCUGAUUUUUUUUUACAGUUUAUAGACAAUUUUGCGAAAAUUUUCCGAUAACAUUUUUAUGGGAUAAUUUGACGUUGACAAUAAUCGAUAAUUUUUUAUGUUAUAGAUUAAAGCUUUCUUUCCUCUUUAAUUUUUUGAAAAAAAAAUUGGUUUUUUUUUUUGUAUAUUUUUGCCUAAAAGAUCGUGUAUGCAAGUUUAAAGUAAGCCUUGGCGUAUAAGCAACUAAUGUUCAAAUUAUACUUAAAUCGCGGCUUACAGGCGUAUUAUCUUUGCAAUGUGUAUUUCAGUUAAUAUUUUAUAUUUAUAUCCAUGUGAGUAUGUAUUAUAUACAUUCGUGUAUAUUUUCUUAUAUGAUCUCCAUAUAAUAUAUUUAUGCAGUAACACAUUAAGCUCCCGAUUUUAUGUAACUUCAUAAGUACACAAUCACAACAAGCCCACAUUUGACCGCGACAAAAAAAAUGAUGUGUUUGUUGCAAUUUAAUUUGUCAUCAUCAAACGAAAUCAACAAUCUCAGCACGUCGUCGCUUUUGGUGGGGCUGAUGGGGUCGCAAUUUUCAUGGCAGCAUACAACAUAAUUUCGCCUAAAUAAUGAUUGGAGCGCGGGAGAAAGCCUAAAGAAGUUUGAGUAUUUACAUGAUGAGCAUAAACGUUGGGGCCACCACAUGUGGUGUCUGCCGAAAAAUAACUUAAUAAUGAAGCCACCAAAUUGGCUGCAAAUUAAAUCAAAAGAAUUCGGCUAAUCAAAUUUAUUAAAUUGAGCCAGAGGUCUGUAGCAUAUAACAGUAAAGUUGCACUCCACUCUGAGACAUAUAAAAUUAACAGUGUUACAACGGUAUUUUAUUGCAGUCUGCGAGUAAGUUGAGUUAAUUUGUGAGGCGUUACACCGUAGAGGCGGCGUAGUUGUAAAUCUAAAACCACACAUCAAACAGUCACUAAAGCAACGCAAAUGGACAGUACAAACAGGCAGCCACAUCCCCAUAAACUUAGUCAGUUUACCCUGGCAACAGUCGGAGAAGUGCAGAGUGUGAGCUAGCAAAGCGGAGAGUGCAGCGGAAAGUACAUAAGUCUAAAGUUGAAGGUUCACCAUGGAUUAACACAGCCAGCUGACUUGACGCGUUUGUUCGUUCCUUCGUAUGUGUGCGUGUAUACUUAGCCACUUAAGUUGGCUACGUGUAGCAUGAGUUUUAAUGCAGCAGGCUUUAAGAACUUUGACACAUCUUAUGUGGUUUGUACGAGUAUGUCUUACUUAGUACGAGUAUUAGUCGACAAAGUUCUCUGGCAAUCGAAGGACAAAUUGAUAGCGCCUGCCAAGUAUUAUGUUGCCGUCGAGAAAAAUAUAUUGUAUGAAAAAGUAAACCUUUGCUUCAUCUCAUACUCCCGUGAGCCAUGUCGAUGGUUGUUUGACAUGUUUCAUAUUGUCGGCGUUCGCCGUUGUGGAGCGCUUUUUCCUCUAUACGCCGUGCCAUUGAUACAAGUUCGCAGACCUUGGAACUUGUCGUUUCGUUAUAAUUAGAAAUUGGAAAAUUGCGAAACAAACUUUUCGUUAACAAUACACAUGCCUAGGCACGUAUGUAGUUGUUUGUACGUUUGUAUUUGCAAUAAUAAGGAUAUAACACUUGUAGAACAUAUAACAUAUGGUAGGGAAGUAUGACAAAAUACGCAUGUUUGUUUGUAUAUACACAUACACUUACGACUAACACAUUUAUCUGUAGAAAUUUUGCUCAAUCCCGAAAUUUCGAGAUUUGGAAAUUUAAUUUUCAGGAUCCCGAAAAAUUUUUCGAAACGAAUAUGUUUGUAAUCUCUUAAUUAUUUAUUAACGCAUACCUCUGCAUAUAUUUUAUACGAUCCAUUUCAUAUUCGGGAUCCCGAAAAUAAUAAUAAAUCUUCGAAUUGAUGUACAGCGUGGCAACAUUGAAUUAUGCACUAAAUAAGCCUAGUUAUAAAAUAUAUGUAUGUAUGUAUGGCAGAUGCUUUGAGCAUGUUCUCUAUCUGCGAAAGCAUAUUGUCACAAAAGCAACUCCCUAAUUCAAAAUAUUUAUGUAUAUGAACGCUGACUUUGAAAUAAGCUAUUUGCUAUACCUUAUCCCUAUGGAGUCUCACGCAUUUGGCAGCGUGUAAGUUUAUGUGUGAAUAGCAAACGCAUCUCAACUAUGUAAUAAAUUUUAUACUGGAAAAUUGUCGAUUGGAAAAAUUGUUAUGAUGUUAAAAAUUAAAUACAUAUUUAAAAAAAAUAAUAAUAAAAAAUUAUAAAAAAAUAAUAAUAAAAAAUCAAAAAAAAAAAAAAUAAUAAAUAUAAAAAUAAAUAUAAUAAAAAAUUAAAAAAAAAAUAAUAAUAAAAAAUUACAAAAUAAUAAUAAUAAAUAUAAAAAUAAAUAUAAAAAAAUAUAAAUAACACAGAAUGAAAAGCAAAAAAAAAAUAUAAAAAAAAAUAAUUAAUUAAGGAAAAUGACAUAAAUAUUUUUUAAAGCAAAAUUAUAAUAAAAAAUUAAAUAAAAUUAACAGAACUAAAAUAUAAUAAUAAUAAUUAAAAAGUAAUAAUAAAAAUACAAAAAAUUAUUUAAAUAAAUAAAAAUUUAAAAAAUAAUCAAAUAAUUUAAAUUAAAAAUAGUAAAUAAUUGUAAUUAAAAAAUUUCAAAAUGUUGUAAUUUGAUACAAAUUGAAAAAAUAAGAAAACAAUUAAUGGAAAAUCAAAUAAAUAUUUUAUAAAAAUAAUUAUAAUAAAAAAUUAAAAAAAAGAAAUAAUAAUAAAGUAUACAAAAUAAUAAAAACAUUAACAAACAAAAAAAAAAUUAUUAAAUUGAAAAAAAAAAAUAAAAAAAAAAUAAUGAAUUAAAAAAAAUUAAUAAAUUAAAAAAUAAUGAAUUAAUGGGAAAAAUAAAUAAAUAUUUUAUUUAAACAAAAUUAUAAUAAAAAAUAAAUAAUCGUAAAAAUAGUAAAUAGUCAUAAAAAAUUUAAAAAUGUUAUAAUUUCAUUUAUGAAAAAUAAGUAAGCAAAUUGAAAAAUUUAAUAAUGGAAAAAAAUAUUUUAUAAAAAUAAAUGUAAAAAAAAAAAAUUUUAAAAUAAUAAUAUAGCAUACAAAAUAAUAAUAAAAUAAAUACAGUGGUACUCCAAUAUAACGAAUGAUAUAAUGUUGGGACCGUUCGUUAAACUGAAAUAUUCGUUAUAUCGCAAACGAAAACUAAAUUAAUAUUGGUACAUAUAUGUUUAAAAAUAACUAUUUAUUCAUGAAUUCAUAAGCAUUGGUUAUUUUUCCAGAAAUAUUGAAAAUACAUGUACAAUGGAAAAUGCAUACAAUAAGAUUAAUAAAAGUUGAAUUUUAUAACAAAAAUAUGAGCAUUAUUCAACUGAAAAGAAAUUUGUUAUUCAGAUCCUGUGCCAUUUGAUGUAGGCUUUUCAAUAAAAAUAUUUUUUCCUGUUCCACGUCGUUUUCUUCAGACCAUUUGAUACACUUCUCAAAGCAGUCGAUGGCAUCAGUAUGCUUUAUUGGCGGAACAGCUACAACUGCAGCGGUACCACCUUCCGCCUCUUCCGAAAUUUCUAUAGCUAGUUCAUUUUCAGCGCUCGGGUUCUCUUCUACAAGUACAUUGUCUACACUGUUCCAUUCUUCCAAAUCAUCUGUGUUGAAGUUUGUCUAAAAUUUUAUUUGAAUAUUACUUUAAAUUAUUUCUACAAAUGCAUAAGUUAAACUGUACCUGGGGAAACAUUGUAUGGAUAAGAGAAAGUGUGCUCUCCAUAACAGAAAGGUCUUCUCUGAAUCGCAAAUCUAAUAGAGUUAUAUUGUCCUCAUCAUCAUUAUCGUCAGGUGUGGUUUUAUUAAUUAAAAUGUUUUUCCAACACUUCUGAAGAACAACCCCUGAAACUUUUUCCCAAGCUGCAGCAAUAAGUUGAACUGCAUUGAAAAGGGUGAGGUCCUUUAACGCUGUAUUUAAAUUUUCUUUUUGCACUACACUGCUCAGUAAAGAAUUUAGGUAAAAUAAUUUGGUGAGGCGAAUCGCGUUCUGGUCCAUCGGUUGAAUUAGAGCCGUUACAUUCGGUGGCAUAAACACUGUUCAAAUUUUUCCAUCUGGAGUCACCAAAUCUUCUUCUGGUGGAUGACUAGGAGCGUUAUCCAGGAGUAAUAUUGCUCACUUUGGUACACUUCGACUUUCAAGAGAAUCUUCAAUCUAUAAUUAAAAGUAUUAUUAAGGAGUAUUGAAGUGAAAAUUGUUGUAGUAUACAAACCUGAACCAUAAAAAAAUAAGUAGAAUUCUUAAAAAAAAAAUAGCUCAAUAAUAACAAGAACCGACGGGUGUUUAACUGCCUGCAUUGUUUUUUUGUUCUAAUACAACCAAAACCAAAUACAAACGUCAUACAUUCGUAAUAUCGAGUUCAUCCAAUUUCCAGCUUUCGUUAUAUAGAGUCAUCAAUGUAUUGAAAAACAGCGUUCGUUAUAUUGAACAUUCGUUAUACUGGAGCAACACUGUACAUACAUAAAAUUUCAAAAAAAAAAUAAAAAAAUUAAAUUAAAUAAUUUAUAAACAAAUGUUUAAUAUAAAAUAAAUAAAAAUAAUAAUGAAUAAAAAAUGUUAAUAAAUUAAAAAAUAAUUAAUUAAUAGGAAAAAUUAAUAAAUAUUUUAUGAAACAAAAUUAUAAUAAAAAGUAAAUAAUAAAUAAUAGAAAUUAAAAAAAUUAAUAAAAAGAUAAAAAUUAAAAAAUAAUAAUUUAUCAAAAAUUUAAACUUAACCAAUAAAGCUAAAAUUUACACAUGAAUUCCUGUUGGGUAUCGACCAAAACAUGCAACAAAUGCGUUAAUAUAUACAGACAUACAUACAUACAAACCGAACGUGGUUGUAACGCCCUUACAUACCCACACACCGAACGCAUUUAGUAUAUUGUAUACCAGUUCAUAGAUAUGUAUUUAAGCGAAAUAAUGAAGCAGGGAGUACACUUGGUUGGUGGCAGGAGGCGCAACGCAGCUGAUGAUGACAUUUUGUGAAAAUACAAACAACCUGACCGGAAUGGAUAAUUAGAUUUUUCCUCUAAGCUACGCAGCAACGGCUUUAGCAGCAUAUACAUAUAUAACAACAACGAUAGCAACAAAGAUAGAUAGGAUGAAAAUCGUAAGCACAGAUACUCGGAUGCACAUACAUACUUAUGUAUAACAAAAUAUACAUAUAUGCGUGUAUAUAAAUAUGUCGGUACAAAGAGUCAGUGCAAAGGCCGCUCUUGAGACUUGACUAGUGGCUUGGUAUUGCUUUUUCACACUUGCGUGCUAUUCUUCUCAUUGAUCUAUUGGAAUGCCAUGCUACACACACACAUACAUGCAUACACAUCUGUAUGGCAUAUUUGCUCGUGCUCUUCAAGCUACUGCUUCCUUAGAGACUUUGACAACUAAAUAAAUUCCACUUUAUUGCAUCGAAGAAAAGAAAUCAUUCUUCAGUUUGCCAUCACCACAUCACCACAUCACCACAUUGGCCUCAUCAAUGUUGCCUUUGCACACUCAAACACACAGUCAACUAACCACAAGCACUUAGCCCUUUUCAUUAUAUUUAUUUUCCCCAACUACACUGCUAAGAAGACAGCUUCUUUCUCUCUCCCACUUUGUCAUUGACAUUUUGCUUUCGUCGCAACGGUUGGCCAAGUCUACGACUGGUUUUUCCAGCAUUCUUCAGCAUUUUCUGGGCGUAUAUUUUGUUAUUAUUCUUCAUUUCUUGUUGUUGCAAAUGCCUGUUUGGCCCACGCAGACGUCCAUAGUCGUUCUUUCUAUAGCUUUAGACCGGAAAUGAGUUUAUUGGAAUUCCGGCAACAGUAUGGGCGCGUUAUUGAAAAGUGUGAAAAACUUGCAGAGAAAAUAUUGAAUUUUGCAAGUUGGCGCUAAAAAUAGUUGCAGUGCAUGCUAAUGUGAGGACUUGGAUGGAGAUAUUGUGGGCAAUUAAUUUGAAACUUUUUUCAUACAAAAUAUUUAAAUUUAAUAAUGGGUGAAAGCAUUACCUUUCCCAUUUUCACUGCCAUUACUAUUGCUAUCGUACGCAACCGGGUAGUAUUUUUGCCCAGCCAAGGACUAGCAACUCGAUAGUAUUCUAUGUUUCAUCUAGUUCACUCAACGACGAUUUAGAGAUACCUUGCAUUUAGUCACCUGAGUAUGAUGAUUGGGGUGACACCCAUCUCAAAUGCCUGGCGGGUUGAUAUCUUAACUCCCUCUAUCCCGUUAAAAUCAGAUAGGCAUUGGAGUAAGUUCCCUCCACUGUUGGUUCUUUACGCUGGUCGGCUCUGAAACUCAGCUAAUGACCACAACAGGGCGCAUAUACCCGGCGGAAUCGCCAGCACUAAUAGCGGAACCAAUGCUAGAGUAAAAACCGAAACAAACCUGGCAAGGAACUGAAAUCGGACUGGUGUUUGACAACAAAAAUUUUGGAACGCCGCGGCUGCAGGCAGGAAGUUCAGGUAUUUAUGCAUCGCGCCAGCACGCUCGGGUGCAGCCGCAACGGUCAAGCGUCAAAAACGGAGGAGAGAGAAUUCUCUCUCGUUAUUUUGUAUAUAUGUACAUACAUAUCAAUAUUCUUCUUCUUCUUGACUGGCGUAAACACCGCUUACGCGGUUAUAGCCGAGUCAAUUUUCCUUUUGGCAGUUAGGCGCCAAUUGGUAAUACCAAGUGAAGUCAGGUCCUUCUCCACCUGGUCCUUCCAUCGGAGUGGAGGUCUCCAUCUUCCUCGGCUUCCACCAGCGGGUACUGCAUCGAAAACUUUCAGAGCUGGGGCACUUUCGUCCAUUCGAACAACAUGAUCUAGCCAGUGUAGCCGCUGUCUUUUUAUUCGCUGGACUAUGUCUAUGUCGUCGAACAACACAUACAGCUCAUCAUUCCAUCUUCUACGGUAUUCGCCGUUGCCAAUGUUUAAGGGAUCAUAAAUCUUCCGCAAAACCUUCCUCUCGAAAACUCCUAGUGCCGUCUCAUCGGAUGUUGACAUCGUCCACGCUUCUGCACCGUAAAGUAGGACAGGAAUGAUGAGAGACUUGUAGAGUUUGGUUUUUGUUCGUCGAGAGAGGACUUUACUUUUCAAUUACCUUGUUAUUGCUGUUAAUGCUGGUUCCCAGGUAGACGAAAUUAUCUACAACUUCAAAGUUAUGACUGUCAACAGUGACUUGGGAGCCAAGACGCGAAUGCGCUAACUGUUUGUUUGAUGACAGGAGAUAUUUUGUCUUGUCCUCGUUCACCACCAGACCCAUUCGCUUCGCUUCCUUAUCCAUGCGGGAAAAAGCAGAACUAACGACGCGGGUGUUGUUUCCAAUGAUAUCGAUAUCAUCGGCGUACGCCAGUAGCUGUACACUCUUAUAAAAAAUUGUACCUUCUCUGUUUAGCUCUGCGACUCGAACUAUUCUUUCCAGCAUCAGGUUAAAGAAGUCACACGAUAGCGAGUCACCUUGUCUGAAACCUCGUUUGGUAUCGAACGGCUCGGAGAGGUCCUUCCUGAUCCUGACGGAGCUUUUGGUGUUGCUCAACGUCAGCUUACACAGCCUUAUUAGUUUUGCGGGGAUACCAAAUUCAGACAUCGACAAAAAGGUGGUGUGUGUCGAUCCUAUUUUCACGGGUCUUUUCCAAGAUUUGGCGCAUGGUGAAUAUCUGGUCAGUUGUUGAUUUUCCAGGUCUAAAGCCACACUGAUAAGGUCCAAUCAGUUUGUUGAAGGUGGGCUUUAGUCUUUCACACAGUACGCGGAAUCAUCAGCAUUAAUAACGGAACCUCUGCGUUAUGGAAGCUAACACGAUCACGAAAUCUCCAAGCAAAAACCGAAACAAACCGUCCAGGAAACUGAAGUCGAUCUGGCGUUUAGCAACCAAAAUUCAGGGACGCGGUAGCGCAUUUUGGUAUUUUGUGCAUCACUCCUGCACGCUCGAGUGGCCCAAGAGGGUGCUGAGCGAGGGAGGGGAUCCAGUGUCGACGGGGCAGGGUGCAGUCGCAUUGGUCAAGCGCCAAAGGUCGCGGGGGAUAGAAUUCUCUCGUUCUUUUGUAUAGAAAUAUCAAUAUUACUAGUCCACCUCCAGAUCCACAAAAAUGUUUCUGAAUUUUUUGCUAUUUAUUGAAAUAACCGUCAUCCGCUUUUAUUAACACUAUUAACCGUUAUUUAAGUGAUCCUAAUUUUUGACAUUAAAAAUCAAAUAAUAAUUAUUUUCUCCGUCCCCUUAAAACAAAAGUCAUAACCACUUAGUCUUACCAAUAUUUUUUGUUUCCAAAAAAUACGAAAAAUAAUAAUACAGUGUCAAAUCCAGAUAAAAAAAACUUUAAGUUAAUCACUUGACCGUCCAAUUUUUACACCUCUUUAAAUUUUAUGUCACAUAAAAGUUAAUGUAGCCUUUUAUGUCACACCGAAUAUGUGGUUACAAAUAGCGGUUGGCUGACGGACAAAAAAAAAUACAACAGCAACAUCAACUGGUACAUUCUUACUUAUAUACAUAUGUAUAUUGUUGCCUCUCUUCAACAUGCAUGCAUAUAUCCGCCACAAGUCCAGCGAUCCGUAAAACUUAAUGCCUCCAGCCAACGUUGUGCGUGUGCUCUCCUCUAACUGCUCCAUACUACUUACCGACUAUUUUACUCCAGCUAUUUUAUUUUUGGCGCAGCCAGCUUAUAACCGCUUCAUAAACAUUUUCACUGUCUGCGGUUUUUAUUAUGCAGCUCAUCUCAUCCGGCAGUUCUGUUGUUGUUCGUGCUCCGCUCAUUCUAUCGCGUGCUGUGCUCCAGUUUCCUAUUUAAAAGCGCGCUCCUUUUACAUUUUCACAUAACCCCGGUCCUGUUUUUUGCGCUCCUAGACCGCAGUUAUUCGCUCACCUGUUUGUCGGUUUCACUGUUUGUCUGUCGGUCGUCGGUCUGGCUUUUUAAUGGCAAAACAUUUGUCUGUUACCUGCCACUAUUGUCCAUAAAAUGAACUCAUAAAGGUUGAACUUUUCGACUGUGUGUUGAUGUCUGUAUGUAUAUACUAUAUGCAUACCGUUAUUAUUUACCUUUUAUGCUUUUUGCUGUAAUAUCCUUUGGUUAUUUGUUGUUGUUGGUUAUUAUUUUUGUGUUGCACAAAUUUUUAUUCAUCUCACCUGUCACUCGCUAUUGCUUGUUAUCAAUUUUUUCUGUUUUUUUUUUUUGUUGAGGAUGUCAAACUUUGACAGCCUUAUGUCAUUGUUGUCAUAGUAACAGUGUCUGUGUUUAUGUAUUAGUUGGAUUAUGUCGUUAAUAAUGGACGUUGGUAAUCGAUCAUUUCAUUCAUUGUGACUGUUAACACGCUCAUUAUGUUGUGACAUAUUGGCAGUCGUAUGUGGGCGUACAUGAUUUUAAUGUGUUUAUGCUGUAAUAUAUCAAACGGGUGCAUUUGACAUACACACUCGUAACAUUACAAAAUUUGCAAGAAAUACAUAAUUAUCAACCCUCAGGAAUAGACUUGUUUUCUCUCUAGGUCUGUAAGUAUUGCCAUACAUUUAAAUUGAACUUCCUUAAAGAGUUGUGUGGCCUUGGAGGCUGAUGGCAUCAACUUUCAUUAACUUUUAAAUUAGACAACAAAAUCAUUGUCAUUAAUCAAAAGAUAUUAAUAUUAAGAUAUGAUUUAUUCUCCUUGAAAGCUUGGGAUGGGAUAGGAAUAACAUCGUUCCCAGCAUUAAAGUGUAAAAUAAAAGAUAAAAAUUGACCGACAAACCAAUUAAACUGAAACAUUUCUCCAUAGAUUAAGGUAAUAUAAUCAUAUAACAUUAUUUGUGAACAUAGUAAUAAUUCAUCAAAAACUCCAUGGAAAAUACUUCGAAAAUAUCCACUAUAUUCGAUCAUUAUCUAUAUAUUAUUGAGAGGUUAUAUCAGAAACGUUUUAUGCAAUUUAUUUUAAUUUUUACGCAAUUUGUUUAUUUAAUUUUAUGAAGAUAACACACAAUUCAUCCCCUAUAUCCGCAUAAAGUCCACUAAAAUAUCGAAAAUCAUUAGAUAUUAGGUCUACAACUUUGCUUCCGCAGUUGUUUUUUGUAAAUUUAAGGCUUUAUUGUAUAAAAACGGUUACAAAAAUGUGACGAAAAAACUCCUCAUCUUUCGAAUCGAUCCAAGUAUUAAUCCAAUUUUUGACUUCUUCAUAAGAACUCAAGUGUUCGUUAGCUAGACCGUGUGCAAUCGAUCGGAACAAGUGGUAGUCGGAUGGAGCAUCGUCUGGAGAAUACGGCGGGUGAGGUAAGAUCUCCCAUCUCAGCGUCUCCAAAUAUUUUUUGACCACCUUUGCGACGUGAGGCCGAACAUUGUCAUGCUGGAGAAUGACUUUAUCGUGUCUUUCCUCGUUCUGUGGCCGUUUUUCUUUUAGUGCUCAGCUCAAACGCAUCAAUUGCGUUCGGUAUCGAUUUCCUGUGAUGGUUUCAGUCGAGUAAUGCUUCCAAUUCAGCAUCUUCGAAAAUCUUCUCUCUUCCACCACCAUGCUGGUCUUCGACUUCAUAAUCACCAUUCUUAAAACGUUGAAACCAUUCGCGACAUGUUCCUUCACUUAGGACAGCCUCAUCGUACGUAUCCGAAAGCAUUCGAUGAGCCUCAGCCGCACUUUUCUUGGAAUUAAAAAAGAAAAUCAAAAUUUCCCGCAAAUGUCGAGUAUACGGCUCAAAAAGUGACAUUUUCAGUUGAGCAUAAGUUUGAAAUGCAAACAGAUCUCUACAAAUAUUUUGUUGGGUUAAUGUUGACACAAAUGUCCAAGAUCGAUAUGAAACGAUUUAAUCGACCAGUGCUUGAUCCUAGAGACAUCUAUUGGAAAACGGUGGAAUCAAAGUUGUAGACCUAAUAUAUAAUAGUAUAUGGUAGCUGGGGUAACUCGUGAACCGAUUUCACUAAUUUUCACCACCAAGCUACGCUAUAUCCAAGACUAUACGCUCAUUCACCGAACGUUAGAAAAUCCAUAUAUUUGGUAUAUGGGAGCUAUGAGAAGUUAUUAAUCGAUUUCACCCAUUUUUGGCAGAGAUAAAUAUUAGAAAAAAUUUUCUCUCUGAAUUUCUAUAAAAAUAAUUCAUAGGCACUGAGGUCCUCGUUUUCAGUAUAUGGGGCCUUGAAAUUCUAAAGUCUAAUUGUGACAAUUUUUAAAUAUAAUAUGUUUCCCCUCUUAAGCAAUAUUUGUGUUUUAUUGCGAUAUCUUCAACUGUUCUUGAUUUAUAUUAGGUUGGCAAAUAUCUCCCUUCCGCGGCUAUGUAUGUAUAAAGCGCUACAGAGCUCGUAUCUAGCAAUACUAUACAUAUUUGAAAGGUCUUGACAUUACCUACAAAACGACGCUAUGCUAUAUUGCGUUCAACAGUUACAGACGUGUAAGCAUGGAGAUUACUAACGAUGCUCACAAAAUUCGCGCUAUUUUAAAGUUUUCCUUCGUUAAAGGCAAAUCCGCUAGAGAAACUUUCCGUGAGAUUAAUGUUGUUUUGGGGUAUUCUAUCACUUCGAAUUGCGGAGGAAUGGUUUCGACGAUUCAGAGCGGUUGAAAACGACACCAUAGAUAAGCCAGGCGGCGGAAGUCCUGUGACGACGAAUACAGAUCAAAUCAUGGAAUAAAUCGAGUUAGACCGGCAUGUGGCAUCUUGUGACAUCGCCCAGGAGAUGGGAGUUAGUCACCAAACCAUUUUACACCAUCUGCAGAAGGCUGGAUACACAAUAAAGCUUGAUGUUUGGGUGCCGCAUGAUUUGACGCAAGAAACCCUUCUGGACCGAACGAACUCGACCUAUUUUUGAAACGGAUGGUGACUGGCGACGAAAAAUUGAUCACAUACGAUAAUAUCAAGCGAAAACGGUCGUGGUCGAAGGCCGGUGAAUCUCCCAAACAGUGGCCAAUCCGGGAUUGACGGCCUGGAAGGUUUUGCUGUGUGUUUGGUGGGAUUAGAAGGGAAUCAUCCACUAUGAGCUGCUCCCAUAUGGCCAGACGCUUAAUUCUACCAUCUACUGCGAACAACUGGAUUGCUUGAAGCAGACGAUCGACCAGAAUUGGCCAACAGGAAGGGUGUAGUGUUAAACCAGGACAACGUCAGACCACACACUUCGUUGAUGACUCGUCAGAAGCUACUGGAGCUCGGGUGGGAAGUUUUAUCGCAUCCACCAUAUAGCCCGGACAUAGCGCCAAGUGAUUACCACCUGUUCCUGUCCAUGGAAACGCCCUUGGUGAUAUAAAGUUGAAGUCAAAAGAGGCUUGUAAAAAGUGGCUGCCGGAGUUUAUCGCAAAUGAGGCAGUCUAGAUGGAAACAGAUUAUCGAACGAAUGGGGGCAUAUUUGAACUAAACUAGAGUUCAUCCCCUCAACACAAAGUAAAGUAUAUACAUAUUUCGAAACAAAUUCACGAUGACAGCCUCAAAUUAACCCAAAGAAAUCACUUCACGCACGUCUGGACGGGGUGAUGGUAAAUGUCUAAGCAUUUAACCAAAGUAAAUAAGAUUUAAAACAUUUCAAGGAUUCAAUUUAAGUGCACAAUAAAAUGUAACUUAACAAAUGGGCCAACACAAAACAAUUUUAACAAGUAACAACAAAACAACGCGAAAUCGUUUAAACAACAAACCGUGGAGGUAAAUAAAACGAAGUGAUGAGCUGGUGUGGCGAAUUUACGAGUAAACUUGCAGACGCUUAAGCGAUAACAUGGACAAGAGAAAAGUGAGUGAGUGAGAGAGGGGAGGAGGCGCAGUAAGUUGAAAAGUCAUAGUUAACGGCUUAGUAAGCGUCUUGAGGGAGCCAACCCACAAUAACAACUAACUCGGCAUACAGACAGACAUUUAGUUUACCGUCAAGCCGUCAAGCUAGUCAGUCAGUCGGUUAUUAUGCAGUCAUUUAUAUAGAAUGUAUAAAGUAAAUAAUAAAAGCGUGGCGAAUUGAUGUAAUUAAUCAAAUUAGAGGAAACACAAAAACCCUUUUGAUUGUCAAUUUGAAAGCGUUAGGAAAGUCAUUAAGGACGUAUAAAGGUUUUGCGAAUGCCGCAGACCAGCUCUCCCGAGGGGCUGUGGACGUGGCCAUGGCAAUGCAGAGGUUGUACAUAAAAGCGCUUAGCAGAGUAUAUAUGUAUAUUAUGUCUGUCUGUAUGUGAAAACACAAUUAAAAGCUUCCACCAGGAUUUCGCUGCAUUGGGUGUCUGCUGUUUUGCGGCUUGUAGCGACACAAUUGUUGCUUGCUCCCCAGAGCAACACGGGUAUUUUCCGCACAGCCUUUGCCUCACCUACAAAAUUACGCACAUUGUUGCACACCAGUUGGCGGUGGCAAACAUUAAGGGCACGACACUUAAAACCAUAUUUUGUAAUGCCAACUGGCGGCGGCGGAAAUGGUUGGGAAAAUUGAAAAUUUCUGCCGAAAAGGUAGUACGAAUGCCAAAACCCAGUUUCACGGCGGUAAAUUGCUGGCAAUUAAAGUACACCUACCGUUAUUGUGCCAAAAUUAAUUCAUUUUUAAAUGGCAGCCCCAAAACGUUUGGCAAGCAAAGCAGCUGGCCCAAAAGGAAGCAGUUUAAGCGAGAGUUGUGGCGAAAGUGAAAAUUUUGGGAUUUAGUUGAAGUGAAAAAAGUAGAAAAAACUGAAAUUCAUAAAUACCUGCAGAAAAACUGGCUACCGGUCGCCAAAAACAACACCAAAAUUUGUGUCAGCAUAUAAACCUUAAUUACCUUUGCCUUUAUGGCAUAAAGUGCCAUAAGUAAGCUAAAAAUAGAGCUAUGGAAAUAAAAUUUGGUAUGAAGGAUCGCACUAUGAAGGGGCAUAAUUGGAUGUAAUUUUUUUGGGGAAGUGGGCGUGGCCCCGCCCCCAAAUAGAUUUUUUGUACAUACCUCGGAAACCAAUAAAGCUAUAUAAACCAAA